UACUUGAUUCACCUGCACCUUCGCCACACCAUUUCUCAUCAAAUUCUUCAAAUUUACGGACCCCACAAUUCACUGCAUCAGCUUCAAUCAAUUUGUAAUUCACAAAUUGAAUUCAAAUGCAGACAUACUUUUUUUUAUUUAAUUAAAAUCUGCACCAAAAUGAUCAACAAUUUCAAGCAAUCAAAUCUAAAUCAGAACAGCUAAUAUGAAGACCUACGAUUGUCAAUUGCAAUUUUAAAAUUCACCAACAGCUUCACUUUGCCAAUUUCACAAGCUAAACCGGAAAAUUCUGCAUCAAGACUUGCACCAGUAAAAUUCUUGCUUCAACAAAAUUGAACCANNNNN
rnacentral:lncRNA from 1 species